rnacentral:rRNA from 1 species
CGGUACGUACUGGCAUCGUCGGUUUCUCCCUUCUGACGAACCAUGAUGUCAUUUAUUUGGUGUUGUGGGGAAUCAGGACUGUUACUUUGAAAAAAUUAGAGUGUUUAAAGCAGGCUCACGCUUGAAUACAUUAGCAUGGAAUAAUGAAAUAGGACGUUCGAUCCUAUUUUGUUGGUUUCUAGGAUUGACGUAAUGAUUAAUAGGGAUAGUUGGGGGCAUUAGUAUUCAAUUGUCAGAGGUGAAAUUCUUGGAUUUAUUGAAGACUAACUACUGCGAAAGCAUUUGCCAAGGAUGUUUUCAUUAAUCAAGAACGAAAGUUAGGGGAUCGAAGACGAUCAGAUACCGUCGUAGUCUUAACCAUAAACUAUGCCGACUAGGGAUCGGAUGAUGUUAAUUUUUUAAUGGCUCAUUCGGCGCCUUACG